rnacentral:rRNA from 1 species
CGGUUAGGGUGCCUUACCAUGCAAGUCGAACGGCAGCACGGACUUCGGUCUGGUGGCGAGUGGCGAACGGGUGAGUAAUGUAUCGGAACGUGCCUAGUAGCGGGGGAUAACUACGCGAAAGCGUAGCUAAUACCGCAUACGCCCUACGGGGGAAAGCAGGGGAUCGCAAGACCUUGCACUAUUAGAGCGGCCGAUAUCGGAUUAGCUAGUUGGUGGGGUAACGGCUCACCAAGGCGACGAUCCGUAGCUGGUUUGAGAGGACGACCAGCCACACUGGGACUGAGACACGGCCCAGACUCCUACGGGAGGCAGCAGUGGGGAAUUUUGGACAAUGGGGGAAACCCUGAUCCAGCCAUCCCGCGUGUGCGAUGAAGGCCUUCGGGUUGUAAAGCACUUUUGGCAGGAAAGAAACGUCAUGGGCUAAUACCCCGUGAAACUGACGGUACCUGCAGAAUAAGCACCGGCUAACUACGUGCCAGCAGCCGGGGGUAAUACAA